rnacentral:lncRNA from 1 species
GCGUGGUAUUUCAACGGACACAUAUAUGGCACUGACAAUAACGGAGAUCGGCAUCGUUUUGACAUUUACGACAACAUAAGGCAGAAACUAAAAUCAUAGAAUAGAUGCGUAACUGUCCAUUUAAUAUUUGAUGUUCAUUCUUUUCAAGCUAUUUAAUGUUGUUCUCGUUUAUGGUUGUUUUUCCUAUAGUAUUUCGUUUUUUUUUCCUUUUCACAAGAGUUGUAAGUGUGAAUAUUUGUAUUGUAGUCAGAAUUACCUGAAUUUAAUUUUGUUUUUUUACGGAAUAUAAAAAGUCAUUUCCGUGUUUGUGUAUACUUUUACUAUCCGUUUCAAAACUUCCGAUGUACAAUUUUUAUAAAAAACACACAUUGAAAAUACACUUUUUAAAGAUUAUUGGUAA